AGCGGCGUGGCUCAGCGGAAGGAGCCCGGGCUUGGGAGUCGGAGGUCUUGGGUUCGAAUCCCAGCUCCGCCA
rfam:Ornithorhynchus anatinus chromosome 1, whole genome shotgun sequence.